CUCUUCAUAGUUCAAUUGGUAGAAUGCAUCGUUUGGGACGAUGUGGUUGUACGUUCGAGUCGUACUGGAGAGACCA
rnacentral:tRNA from 1 species